GAUGAACGCUGGCGGCGUGCCUAAUACAUGCAAGUAGAACGCACAGUUGAUACCGUAGCUUGCUUCACCAUAGACUGUGAGGUGCGAACGGGAGAGUAAUGCGUAGGUAACCUGCCUGGCAGCGGGGGAUAACUACUGGAAACGAAAGCUAAUACCGCAUAAUAUUGAUUAUUGCAUGAUAAUUGAUUGAUAGAUGCUAUUGCAUCACUACCAGAUGGACCUGCGUUGUAUUAGCUAGUAGGUGAGGUAACGGCUCACCUAGGCGAAGAAACAUAGACGACCCUGAGAGGUGGACGGCCACCCGGGGAAUGGGGCCAGGCCCCAGAUCCUUCCGGGAGCCACCAUAGGGGAACUUUGGCAAUGGACGGAAGUCUUGCCGAAGAACGCCGCGUGGGUGGAGGAAGUUUUCGGAUCGUAAAACUCUGUUGUAUGGGAAGAAAGGGUGUGAGAGUGAAAAGUUCACGCUGUGACGGUAUCUUACCAGAAAGAGACGGCUAACUACGUG
rnacentral:rRNA from 1 species